AGUAUUCUAAGCCUAACUAAUCAGUAGUUUUGUUUGCAUGCAUGAAUAACUAGGCUACUACUUUCAGCAUUUAGUUUGCACUAUUUUGGUUAGACCGCUGUGUACACGGCAGCAUUCACAUAGGCUGUUUGGAAUAGGUGAAUUACCCUAUCUUGUAGCUCAUUUACAUGACGAAAUAGCCUUGCUUUAGUUUGUAGGACGCUGUCCAUUGUGCUGAUACAAUGCAGCAGAGAUGAGAAGUCCCUGACUGCAGUGUGCAGUUCCGGACCGGGCUCAAUGUGGGCGGAGUCAGACGCGUUAAACCCGAACCCUUCCCAUCUCCUUCAAGGUCACCGAAGUUGAGGUUCAAGUCGAAGGCAUCAACGAAAGCGAGUCUUAAUCGAACCUAACCUACAUGGAUAAAAGUAAACCAUGGAAUGUGUUAUUGGAGGGUGAGAGUCCCAAAAUUAAAAAAUGCAGCAGCAGUCAACUUCAUCACUGCCCCUAAUGCACAUAUAAGGCUGAACAAUAUGGUCAACAACCACAAAGGUCAUGCUUCAGUGAGACAGAGAGUUUACACUCAUAAAGUGUGGCUUCAGUUGUAGAAAUGUGACACACUUUCAUUAUUGCUACUGUACGGCAACAAUAAUCAACAGAACACAGUUUCUGAAGCACCUGACAUACCAUCAGCGUCCAGAGGCCCUUAAACAGUCCCCAGAGGCCCCUCAAGAUCUUGUCCCCUGGAACUUGGAGGACUUUUGGUGUGGAUGAUGAUCAUGGCCUACCAAAGCAAGGUUUCUCAAACAACUGUGGGGUGUUUGUUUUGAUGGAAAACAUGCAGCAAAUUCGGCGCUGGUGGUGCCUAGUUCUCCUGCAGAACUUUCCAAUGCCGUCUGAGGAGAGGUUGAAAGAACAAAAAAGGCGGCCAAAACAAAGCGCACUACAGGAUGAUGUUGAAGGCGAGCCCCCCCCCCCCCCCCAAGAAAUCACAGCAUGUUACAUCAGCAUCCAACUCUGCAGGACCAGACGAUACUGAAAACAAAAUGCACUGGGAGCUGUGAACUGGUGUAAUUGGGAUGGACGGGGAAGACCGCUUAAAGAACUACAGUUGUAUGAUGGCUUGGAUGAAGAGGAAAAUAUUCUCCUUAAGGAACCAUUCAUGUUCCAGUUAUGAGAUGUUCUAUGUGGAGGCAGUUGACAACAAGAAUAUUACUGUCUUUGCCUCUUGAGCAGGAGUGAAGCCAUUUUUUGAGGAGUGGUCAAAUCUUGUUUUUGUCUGCUGUGUUAAUUGUUUCAAUUGCUAAUUGUGUUGUUUAGUAAAGAUGAUGUAGAAGUCA